AGAAUCGACGCUGGCGGCGUGCCUAACACAUGCAAGUCGAACGAGAAAGUGGGAGCAAUCCCACGAGUAAAGUGGCGCACGGGUGAGUAACACGUGACUAACCUACCCUUGAGUGGGGGAUAACCUAGGGAAACCUGGGCUAAUACCGCAUAAUACCUACGGGUCAAAGGAGCAAUUCGCUUUAGGAGGGGGUCGCGGCAGAUUAGUUAGUUGGCGGGGUAAUGGCCCACCAAGACAGUGAUCUGUA
rnacentral:rRNA from 1 species